UUAUGUUAUGUUCAUAUUUCAAACCACUUAUACACAAACAUCAUAUUAUGCAUUAUUCAUCUUUCUUUGUUCCUUGUGGCUUCACUUAUUUGUUGUGCUCCUGUAAACUUUUUAAAUUUGGCUGCUAGUUAAUUAUUGAACAGACAAAAUGCUACUCUUUUCAACUUCUUAUAGUUUAUCAUUUUUUAUGUAGCUAAGAAUUUGGAUUGAUGCCUAAUUAGCCAAUCAAUGGCAUAUUAUAUAUUCCAAUAUAAAAAAGCUAGGACAGAAAUAAUUAAGUCAAUGAAAAGGCUGCCCCAUCUUAAGCAAUUGAGUGGGAUCUGAGAUGUCAUUUGAUAAAAUAGAUCUAAAUUUAAAUCUUGAACACUAUUUUUAUUAUAUCUGCAUUGGAUAUAUUAAAAGUCUAAACGAUUUAGUCAUUAGUAAAAUGAUUUAUUUAUUUUAAUUAUGUGUAAAAAGUAUAUAAUUAUGUUUACAUUAGAUCCGUUUCUUCUUCUUCUUCAAGUUUAAGAGAAUAGAUAUGAAAGGUGGGGUAGAUAGUGAAACCAUGAUAGCUCUAUCAAAUUUGGAAUUGAUUGAGACAAAAAUUAAUGAAGGUUGUAGUAUUGAGGGUUCUUUAAAU